rnacentral:rRNA from 1 species
ACGCGAGCUGGGUUCAGAACGUCGUGAGACAGUUCGGUCCCUAUCCGUCGCAGGCGUAGGAAAUUUGAGAAGACCUGUCCUUAGUACGAGAGGACCGGGAUGGACGUACCUCUGGUGUACCAGUUGUUCUGCCAAGGGCAUGGCUGGGUAGCUAUGUAUGGAAUGGAUAAGCGCUGAAAGCAUCUAAGCGCGAAGCCAACUUCAAGAUAAGAUUUCCCACCGCAAGGGUAAGACCCCAGAAAGACUAUCUGGUUGAUAGGUCGAAGGUGUAAGUGCAGCAAUGUAUUUAGCUUAUCGAUACUAAUAGGUCGAGGACUUGACCAAU